CCUUUGAUAGCUCAGUUGGUAGAGCAGAGCGCUGUAAUAGGAACCACUGGGAAUCCUUAGGUUGCUGGUUUGAAUCCAGCUUGAAGAA
rnacentral:tRNA from 1 species